rnacentral:tRNA from 1 species
AGAGCAAAUCUUCAUAAAAGAAGGUGGGGCUGCAAACACCGGGAUGUAUUGCUCCA